UACAGAGGGGGCAAGCGUUGUUCGGAAUUACUGGGCGUAAAGGGCGCGUAGGCGGCCCGCUAAGUCGAACGUGAAAUCCCCGGGCUCAACCCGGGAACUGCGUCCGAUACUGGUGGGCUUGAAUCCGGGAGAGGGAUGCGGAAUUCCAGGUGUAGCGGUGAAAUGCGUAGAUAUCUGGAGGAACACCGGUGGCGAAGGCGGCAUCCUGGAUCGGUAUUGACGCUGAGGCGCGAAAGCCAGGGGAGCAAACGGG
rnacentral:rRNA from 1 species